AUAGGGCACCACAAGAACGCGUGGAGCAUGUGGCUUAAUUUGACUCAACCCGGGAAAUCUUACCAGGUCCAGACAUAUUGAGGAUUGACAGGCGAUAGUAUAUAAAAUAUAUUUUUAUAUGCAUAAAAAUGAUAGUCCUUUCAUGAUUAUAUGAUAGGUGGUGCAUGGCCGUUCUUAGUUCGUGGAGUGAUUUGUCUGCUUAAUUGCGUUUUCAGUAAAUAAAAUAUAUAAUAUAUUAUAAUAUUUAGUUUCUGCCAUUUAUUUUAUGGAUUUAAAGUGAACAUAUUAUAUAUAUUAUUAUAUAAUAAAUGAAUGCAACGAACGUGACCGUAACCUUUUAUUGCUAUUGAAAAUUAUAAUUAUAGCAUAAAAUUAAAGGAACCGCUGUCAUUACUAAAUAUGUGUUAAAAUAGAGUAAGAUUAUGGCAAUAACAGGUCUGUGAUGCCCUCAGAUGUUCUGGGCUGCACACGUGCUACAAUAAUUACAUUAAUAAGUAUAUAUACUUUAUAAUAUAUAAUAUUAUAUUACAACCUAUUUCGAAAGUAAAUCGGUAAUCAUUUAAAAAUCGUGAUUAAUUAAUAUAAAUAUAAUUAAUUUAAGGUGGGGAUAGUGUAUUGUUAAUUAUUACACUUGGCCUUAACUAGGAAUGCCUUGUACUCUUCUUUGGUUUAACAUACCAAGAGGAAUACGUCCCUGCCCUUUGUACACACCGCCCGUCGCUCUUACCGAUGAAUUAUAUUAUAAAUCUAAGGGAUUUAUUAUAAUUAAAAUAUAAAAAACUUAUAUACAUAAUGUGAUUUAAAGGAAAGAGAAGUCGAACAAGGCA
rnacentral:rRNA from 1 species